rnacentral:rRNA from 1 species
GACGAACGCUGGCGGCGUGCCUAAUACAUGCAAGUAGAGCGCUGAAGGAGGAGCUUGCUCUUCUGGAUGAGUUGCGAACGGGUGAGUAACGCGUAGGUAACCUGCCUGGUAGCGGGGGAUAACUAUUGGAAACGAUAGCUAAUACCGCAUAAUAGUAGAUGUUGCAUGAUAUUUACUUAAAAGGUGCAAUUGCACCACUACCAGAUGGACCUGCGUUGUAUUAGCUAGUUGGUGGGGUAACGGCUCACCAAGGCGACGAUACAUAGCCGACCUGAGAGGGUGAUCGGCCACACUGGGACUGAGACACGGCCCAGACUCCUACGGGAGGCAGCAGUAGGGAAUCUUCGGCAAUGGACGAAAGUCUGACCGAGCAACGCCGCGUGAGUGAAGAAGGUUUUCGGAUCGUAAAGCUCUGUUGUAAGAGAAGAACGAGUGUGAGAGUGGAAAGUUCACACUGUGACGGUAUCUUACCAGAAAGGGACGGCUAACUACGUG